AAAUCUAGUAAUAUAUAUAAUAUGAAAAAUAUAAAAAUAAAAUUAUCAAAAAUAUAAAAAAAUAGUUGUUUCAUUAAAAUAAUAUGCUGAAAAAUAUAAAAUGAAAAUUAUAAAAAAAAAAAUAGUUGUUUCAGUAAAAUAAUAUGCUGAAAUUUAAACUAUUAUAACAUAUUCAUUUUAAAUUCAAUUUAUGCAUAUCACAUAUUAGACC
rnacentral:lncRNA from 1 species